rnacentral:tRNA from 1 species
GCACUAGUACUUCAGUGGUAGAACUCUGGCCUUCCGUGUGGCAGACCCGGGUUUGAUUCCCGGCCAGUGCA